rnacentral:rRNA from 1 species
AGCGAACGCUGGCGGCAGGCCUAACACAUGCAAGUCGAACGAACCUUUCGGGGUUAGUGGCGGACGGGUGAGUAACACGUGGGAACGUGCCUUUAGGUUCGGAAUAACUCAGGGAAACUUGUGCUAAUACCGAAUGUGCCCUUCGGGGGAAAGAUUAAUCGCCUUUAGAGCGGCCCGCGUCUGAUUAGCUAGUUGGUUGAGGUAAUGGCGCACCAAGGCGACGAUCAGUAGCUGGUCUGAGAGGAUGAUCAGCCACAUUGGGACUGAGACACGGCCCAAACUCCUACGGGAGGCAGCAGUUGGGAAUCUUGCGCAAUGGGCGAAAGGCUGACGCAGCCAUGCCGCGUGAAUGAUGAAGGUCUUAGGAGUGUAAAAUUCUUUCACCGGGGACGAUAAUGACGGUACCCGGAGAAGAAGCCCCGGCUAACUUCGUG